rnacentral:rRNA from 1 species
AGAGUUUGAUCCUGGCUCAGGACGAACGCUGGCGGCGUGCCUAACACAUGCAAGUCGAACGGGGUAAGGCCCUUCGGGACCUUACUUAGUGGCGAACGGGUGAGUAACGCGUGAGGAACCUGCCUUUCAGUGGGGGACAACAGUUGGAAACGACUGCUAAUACCGCAUAAAACCUUUGGGUCGCAUGAUCUGAAAGUCAAAGAUUUAUUGCUGAAAGAUGGCCUCGCGUCUGAUUAGCUAGUUGGAGGGGUAACGGCCCACCAAGCCAACGAUGGGUAGCCGAGCUGAGAGGCUGAUCGGCCACACUGGAACUGAGACACGGUCCAGACUCCUACGGGAGGCAGCAGUAGGGAAUAUUGGGCAAUGGGCGCAAGCCUGACCCAGCAACGCCGCGUGAGGGAAGAAGGUUUUCGGAUUGUAAACCUCUGUCCUAUGUGACGAAGGAAGUGACGGUAGCAUAGGAGGAAGCCCCGGCUAACUACGUGCCAGCAGCCGCGGUAAUACGUAGGUUGCAAGCGUUGUCCGGAUUUACUGGGUGUAAAGGGCGUGUAGGCGGAGAUGCAAGUUGGGAGUGAAAUCCAUGGGCUCAACCCAUGAACUGCUUUCAAAACUGCAUCCCUUGAGUAUCGGAGAGGCAAGCGGAAUUCCUAGUGUAGCGGUGAAAUGCGUAGAUAUUAGGAGGAACACCAGUGGCGAAGGCGGCUUGCUGGACGACAACUGACGCUGAGGCGCGAAAGCGUGGGGAGCAAACAGGAUUAGAUACCCUGGUAGUCCACGCUGUAAACGAUGAAUACUAGGUGUGGGAGGACUGACCCCUUCCGUGCCGCAGUUAACACAAUAAGUAUUCCACCUGGGGAGUACGACCGCAAGGUUGAAACUCAAAGGAAUUGACGGGCACCCGCACAAGCGGUGGAUUAUGUGGUUUAAUUCGACGCAACGCGAAGAACCUUACCGGGAUUUGACAUCCUACUAACGAAGCAGAGAUGCAUAAGGUGCCCUUCGGGGAAAGUAGAGACAGGUGGUGCAUGGUUGUCGUCAGCUCGUGUCGUGAGAUGUUGGGUUAAGUCCCGCAACGAGCGCAACCCUUAUCCCCAGUAGCCAGCACGUAGAGGUGGGCACUCUGAGGAGACUGCCAGGGAUAACCUGGAGGAAGGCGGGGAUGACGUCAAAUCAUCAUGCCCCUUAUGAUUUGGGCUACACACGUGCUACAAUGGCGUAAACAAAGGGAAGCGAAACCGCGAGGCGGAGCAAAUCCCAAAAAUAACGUCUCAGUUCGGAUUGUAGUCUGCAACUCGACUACAUGAAGCUGGAAUCGCUAGUAAUCGCGGAUCAGAAUGCUGCGGUGAAUACGUUCCCGGGUCUUGCACUCACCGCCCGUCA